AAGUCGUAACAAGGUCUCCGUAGGUGAACCUGCGGAGGGAUCAUUAACACUAUUUGGCUUUACACAUGUUUCACGACAUGAGUGAAGUUCAAAUUUUCACACAUUGUGCACUCGUUGGUUAUUUCCCUCAAAAAGAAGUAACUGACCUAACUAUAACUGUCUCGAGGGUUAGGAGGCCGACGCGACGUAGUGAACCAUAUUUCAUCUAUAACUACUGCUACUUUUGGGGUAGUUAUAGGUGGAAAAGGUAGCUCCGCCUCUAUAUCUCGACGCGGUUGAUUUUGGGAGCGUCCCCCCUUUGCCAUCACCUUAAGCCAACGUACUGAUUUAGUUGAAGUAAAUUGAAAGAUUUAUCUUCUUCAUAUAUUCAAACUAAGCACAACUCUUAGCAACGGAUAUCUUGGUUCUC
rnacentral:misc_RNA from 1 species